UACCUGCAGCUCGAGUGGUAACCGCUAUUAUUGGGCCUAAAGCGUCCGUAGCCGGUUUGGUAAAUAUCUGGGUAAAUCGUGAGGCUUAACUUCACGAAUUUCGGAUAGACUGCCAGACUUGGGAUCGGGGGAGGUCAGAGGUACUCCAGGGGUAGCGGUGAAAUGUUGUAAUCCUUGGGGGACCACCGGUAGCGAAGGCGUCUGACUAGAACGAGUCCGACGGUGAGGGACGAAGCCCUGGGGCGCAAACCGGAUUAGAUACCCGGGUAGUCCAGGGUGUAAACAAUGUGGGCUUUGUAUUGGAGGUCCCACGUGGGCGUCCAGUGCAGAAGAGAAGUUGUUAAGCCCACCGCCUGGGAAGUACGGUCGCAAGGCUGAAACUUAAAGGAAUUGGCGGGGGAGCACCACAAGGCGUGAAGCUUGCGGUUC
rnacentral:rRNA from 1 species